rnacentral:rRNA from 1 species
ACCCUAGUUCUUGAUGGACCUUCUUACUGGAUACCGCGGUAAUUCUAGAGCUAAUACAUGCGUACAUCCCCAACUUCCGGAGGGGACGCUUUUAUUAUAUAAAAAGAAAACCGCUCCGGCUGCACUCUUGGUGAUUCAUAAUAACUUUACGAAUAUCACGGACCCUUGCCCGGGAAACAUCUCUUCAAUUUGUGCACCAUAUACUUUGCAAAGUGAGAUAUAGGCCCCCCCUGGGGUUUUGAGGGGAAAGAAAAAUUCGGGUUUAUUUCCCAAAAAGGGACCCAUAAAAAGGGCCCCCACUCCAAGAAAGGGGCAAGGGCCCAAAUUUUCCCCUCCCACCCAAGGGGGGGGGGGGGAAAAAAAAAAAAUAUAGGGGCCUCUUCCUAGUUACUCUAAUUGGAACAAAUACAAUUCCUCUCCGCCCCCAAAUA